UACGUAGGGUGCAAGCGUUAAUCGGAAUUACUGGGCGUAAAGCGUGCGCAGGCGGUUUUGUAAGUCUGUCGUGAAAUCCCCGGGCUCAACCUGGGAAUUGCGAUGGAGACUGCAAGGCUAGAAUCUGGCAGAGGGGGGUAGAAUUCCACGUGUAGCAGUGAAAUGCGUAGAUAUGUGGAGGAACACCGAUGGCGAAGGCAGCCCCCUGGGCCAAUACUGACGCUCAUGCACGAAAGCGUGGGGAGCAAACAGG
rnacentral:rRNA from 1 species